UGUUCUGGAUGUGCUUUAAAGCUAAGAAUCCAAGCUUAACACUCAAGCGACAAGGAAAUGUGUCAAUAAAUAGAGCUCUCAAUUUCACAAAGGAAAUGGCAUGUUCCCACCUUGACAGUCUUGCAGAGGAAUUGAUCGAGGCUGGCAUUAUGACUGAAGCAGCCCAAAAGGAGACAGGAGUUUGGUCUGGAAAUAUUGAUCUAUGCAGAAUAUUGUAAAAUGUUGUAAAAUGAUAAGAGAGAACCGUGAAUGUGUCACCAUUCAUCCUCUAGUAUCAUUUUCAGGAGACCUUUGUGUCUGUCAAGUACUCUUUGGUACUGUUGGAAUAACUAAUCAAAUGGCUCCACAGGAAGCUGUGGCAAAUAUUCUGC